UUUCUGUGGAUAAUAAAAAUAAGCAGCUUACCGCUAUUUAGUCUCUCUCGAAUUAAAAGGCAGGUGAAAUCACUCCCCCCGAAAAAAAAAAAAAAGUCCUCACUUCCGGACCUGACAGUGGAGGUGUCCUGACAGUGGAGCCUGCACCGGAAGCGACCUCACAGUGGAGGUCUGCAGCCAGGUACCUCUGGCUUCUCCUGCCUCGUGUCUCUGCGCCACCAACACCACAGAGACGGACUUCAAGUGAAGCGAUUACCAGCUGCGGAGACUUAUACAAGACCAUAACCACUGGCAGGGAUGCCCCCCCCCCCUUCUACUACUUUACAAGCGCCUGAACGUACUAUCCCUUUUAGAGACCAUGGCAUGAGUGGGAGGUUCAUCUCCUCUUCUCCCCCCACCAGAGUUGUACCUCAUUCGGAGCCACAACAGAGCCCACCGGGUCCUGACUUGAACAUGAACCCUCGGAAGACCUCAGACGUGAUUACACCUAGGCUAUGACAGGCGGGGUAACACCUCAAUACACCGACUGAUCCAAUGUUGUCGGUGGAUAACGUAGCCCAAAAUGGUGUCUGUAACAUCUUUUUGUUAUUUGCCAUUCCUAAGGUCAGUUACUGCACACGUGAACUCCCAGAUGUUGUUCCCAGAUGUGACUCUUUUGAAAAUGCAAAUAAAAAUGUGAAACCUGAUUUGAUUGA